UUCUGACAAGUUGGCAUAAGUUAUCAGUUCUUACGACGUUAAUCUACUGGGUCUUCGCCUGAAGGUAUAACUGAAUCAAGAGUGCAGGAGAUGAGCUUGCAGGGCUGUGCCGGGAUGAAGAAGAACGAUAAGCCUCGCCCCUGGAGGAACUAUUGAGCUCCCUGCCUGGAAGCCACCGCACACAUCCAGGCCUGCCACACACAGGUUGGGCU